AUUGAACGCUGGCGGCAGGCCUAACACAUGCAAGUCGAACGAGUGGCGGACGGGUGAGUAAUGUCUGGGAACCUGCCCGCUGGUGGGGGAUAACUACUGGAAACGGUAGCUAAUACCGCAUACCAUCGGAUGUGCCCAGCUGGGAUUAGCUAGUAGGUGGGGUAACGGAUCACCUAGGCGACGAUCCCUAGCUGGUCUGAGAGGAUGACCAGCCACACUGGAACGGAGACACGGUCCAGACGCCUACGGGAGGCAGCAGUGGGGAAUAUUGUACAAUGGGAGCAAGCCUGAUGCAGCCAUGCCGCGUGUAGGAAGAAGGCCUUCGGGUUUUAAAGUACUUUCAGCUGGGAGGCGUUACUCGCAGAAGAAGCACCGGCUAACUCCGUGCCAGCAGCCGCGGUAAUAC
rnacentral:rRNA from 1 species